GACGAACGCUGGCGGCGUGCCUAAUACAUGCAAGUCGAGCGGGGUUUAUGGGUAGCUUGCUACCGAUAAACCAAGCGGCGGACGGGUGAGUAACGCGUGGGCAACCUGCCCUCUAGCCUGGGAUAACAGCGCGAAAGUGCUGCUAACACCGGAUAUGCUCACAGGGAGACAUCUCCCGGUGAGGAAAGUUUACACUAGAGGAUGGGCCCGCGUCCCAUUAGCUAGUUGGUGAGGUAACGGCCCACCAAGGCGACGAUGGGUAGCCGACCUGAGAGGGUGAUCGGCCACACUGGGACUGAGACACGGCCCAGACUCCUACGGGAGGCAGCAGUAGGGAAUUUUCCGCAAUGGGCGCAAGCCUGACGGAGCAACGCCGCGUGAGGGAUGAAGGUUUUCGGAUCGUAAACCUCUGUCUUCAGGGACGAUAAUGACGGUACCUGAGGAGGAAGCCACGGCUAACUACGUG
rnacentral:rRNA from 1 species